UACGUAGGGUGCAAGCGUUAAUCGGAAUUACUGGGCGUAAAGCGUGCGCAGGCGGUUUUGUAAGUCAGAUGUGAAAUCCCCGGGCUUGACCUGGGAACUGCGUUUGUGACUGCAUGGCUAGAGUGCGGCAGAGGGGGAUGGAAUUCCGCGUGUAGCAGUGAAAUGCGUAGAGAUGUGGAGGAAUACCGAUGGCGAAGGCAGCCCCCUGGGAUAACACUGACGCUCAUGCACGAAAGCGUGGGGAGCAAACAGG
rnacentral:rRNA from 1 species